rnacentral:pre_miRNA from 11 species
GUCCACUGGCCUCUCCUGAGGCAGAUGAUGACUUUGCGACGGGCGGACGGAGGGACGCGUGACGAAGUUUGUCGUAUUCUGAAUU